rnacentral:misc_RNA from 1 species
GGACAAUCGCUUGUCUAUUUUCAUCUUUUUGUUGACUAAAGGCUAAAGCCUUCUUUUUUUUUCACUCUACAAGAUCAUAGAUUCUCUCCCUUCUCUCAACGUGGAACUUAAACGAGCAACAACAGAAAAGAACCACCAUUUUAUUCUUUCUCUUGAAUCACUGAAAAUAAUAACACCACCAAAAUUUUAUAUAUGAAUCAAUAUGCUGGACCUGAAAAACCAAUAAAGUGAUAUGUAUAUAUAUGUGUGUGUGUAUGUGUGUAUCGAUCCUCAUUUGUGUCCUGGUAAUUGUGUCCUUCACAUGAAGCCAUUGAUCAUUGCAGAAAUCGCUGCGCCAAUAAAGGCAGAUAAGAAUAUUGAAAAUCUCUUUGUUGGUGAGGAAGAAGGUGGCAAUGGGAUUGUCCCAAACACAGUGGGGUAAGAGGGUGCUGCAGUUUCUGGCAAUGCACUAGGACCAUAAGAGGGAGAGUAAGCUGAACCAUUCCCAGAAAGAAGAGAUAUGCGUAGCUUCUGCUUCUGUUCACAGUGCCCUGGAACUCCACUGGUGAAGUAGAACACCCCGGGUGCAGUGAUGUUAAAUAAAGAAUUGCCAUUGUUCAUGUACAAUAGUGGAUCUGUCAGGUUGCAGGAGUUGUAGUUUUGUUCUGUGACUUGAAUCACGGAAUCUUGACUUGGUGGGUACAAGAACAAGAGAGAAUCUCCAAUCUGGAAGGUGUGGUAUUUGGACCAAAAAGAGUAGACUUGUGGGUUUGCCGAAGUAGGAAUACUCCAAGCAUCCAAAUCUCCAACCUUGUACUGGUAGCAAGAGACUUGGAUUUGCGCCAGCAAAAAUAACUGAAAAGCAUAGAUUGGCAGGACCAGGGAUCUAGGACUUCUAAGAUUGGCCAUUUUGCCUGCUCUCAAGCCAAUUUUUCUUUUCUCAAAUUUGAGAAUGAAAGCAGGACACCGUAGGGUGAAAUCUUGUUGGCCCAAAUAUUCGUCGACAGAAAAGAACAAGUUGAUGAUUUCUCCUGAUUGCCCCUCUUCCUAGUUAAAGCUCAGCUGAUAGCAACUUUGAUCUGUUACUUUCAAUGGUUAAAACCUUAAACAACGUGAAGUACGCGUAUCAAGGGUUAGGGAAUUAACGGUACAGAUAUGGGAAUCAACCAAACUUUAGCCAGUCUCUUUUGCCUCAUAUGUCUGAUAAAAUGUUGGGUUGAGGAUGGAAAGGGAACAUGCAAAGUUUAGAGGGGUAAGAUUGGAUCUAAAUCAAUGAUAGGGCCAAUAAUGGCACAUGGGCCAGCUGGGCAUUCAUCCAACACAACUCGAAAUGCGCCUCUGUGAGGUUGGAACAAGCUUGGAGGUGGGGGUAGGAUGUUGCACAAAACGUCCAAAGAUUGGUGCUACAAUUCAAAUUCGUAACCAUAUCACCACGUGGUGAGAAGAGAACUCUCAGGCUUGUCUUGCCAUUACAUGGUUCUUUAUGGUUGGCUGGACACUAAGGUUGAGGCAUCUCCGCUUACCAGCAUGCAAACAGCAUUAGACAAUGGUCUUUGAUUAUAUUUGGAAAGCCAGUAUCUGAAACCAGAAUUUUAGUGACAUAGCAGUCGAUCAAUUAGAGUAAAUUAUAAGAUCUUCAGGUCAAGUCAAGUUCCUCUGUCAUAUUAGCGUGAACUUCACAUGUUAAUUCCUCCGAUGAGAAAUGUGAGUAGGAUUCUCCAAUUCUUACCAAUAUUCCCCCCAUUGAAGAUUAGGUAGGCAUCGAGCUACCUCAAUCUGCUUAUCGCUACUCAUUAUGAAAAGCAGUUG